AGAAAACACAUCAAGUGAUUAAUCUUAUACAGGAAUAAUCUUAUGUAAUUUGAGUUUUAUGUCAGUCAUUUAGCAGCUUGUAGGAUCUCUAAGUGCUAACAGUUAGAGCUUUAGCUUGAGGAGGAGCCGGUCCAGCUCUGUAUCUGGAAUAGGGUUCCGGUCCAGCCCUGGAAGAUGUGGAUCCCAGAGGCAGGGGCUGAUGUCUCCCAGGCACGGCUGUGUCCCCUGCCCCCCCGCUGCCUGGAGCAGGGCCAGAUAUUCAAGAAUGGGAAUUUAGGGAAAUAUUUGUAUGGACUGAGUGCAAGGAUGAACCUUUUCAUUGACAAACUUAAAUGCUAUAAAGAAAACAUCAUCAAUCUCCUAACACAGCCUGGAAAAAGUACAGAGCAAUAA
ensembl:lncRNA